GUCCAGACUCCUACGGGAGGCAGCAGUGGGGAAUAUUGCACAAUGGGGGAAACCCUGAUGCAGCGACGCCGCGUGAGUGAAGAAGUAUUUCGGUAUGUAAAGCUCUAUCAGCAGGGAAGAAAAUGACGGUACCUGAUUAAGAAGCCCCGGCUAACUACGUGCCAGCAGCCGCGGUAAUACGUAGGGGGCAAGCGUUAUCCGGAUUUACUGGGUGUAAAGGGAGCGUAGACGGCAGCACAAGUCUGGAGUGAAAUGCCGGGGCUUAACCCCGGAACUGCUUUGGAAACUGUGCAGCUAGAGUGCAGGAGAGGUAAGUGGAAUUCCUAGUGUAGCGGUGAAAUGCGUAGAUAUUAGGAGGAACACCAGUGGCGAAGGCGGCCUGCUGGGCUCUAACUGACGCUGAGGCUCGAAAGCGUGGGUAGCAAACAGGAUUAGAUACCCCCGUAGA
rnacentral:rRNA from 1 species